rnacentral:rRNA from 1 species
UACGUAGGGUGCAGGCGUUAAUCGGAAUUACUGGGCGUAAAGCGUGCGCAGGCGGUUUCUUAAGUCAGAUGUGAAAGCCCCGGGCUUAACCUGGGAACUGCGUUUGAAACUGGGAGACUUGAGUGUGGGCAGAGGGGGGGUGGAAUUCCACGUGGUAGCAGUGAAAUGCGUAGAUAUGUGGAGGAACACCGAUGGCGAAGGCAGCCCCCUGGGUUAACACUGACGCUCAUGCACGAAAGCGUGGGGAGCAAACAGG